rnacentral:rRNA from 1 species
UACAGAGGGGGCAAGCGUUAGGCGGAAUCACUGGGCUUAAAGCGUGUGUAGGCGGACUUCUAAGUACCUUGUGAAAUCCCACGGCUUAACUGUGGAACUGCUUGGUAUACUGGUUGUCUUGAGCCACUCAGGGGCGAGCGGAACAAAUGGUGGAGCGGUGAAAUGCGUAGAUAUCAUUUGGAACGCCAAUGGUGAAAACAGCUCGCUGGGGGUGUGCUGACGCUGAGACACGAAAGCCAGGGGAGCGAACGGG